rnacentral:lncRNA from 1 species
GUGGAAUCACUUACUUGGCUUCCUGUAUCUUCAGAAUCUACCAUAAGGCAUAAGUUGGCUUCUCCUUCUGUGUCACUUGAGCUUGUUGAGCUAGAAGCAUUAUCCUCCCAAGCUAUGUAGGCUUUCUUUUUCUUUUGAAAUUUUCUUUCCUUCUUGUCUUCACUUUUCUUGCUCUUUGGACACUCAGAUUUUACGUGCCCUCUUUCUCCACAACCAAAGCACUUCACAUUUGAAGGAGAUUCUUGACUUUGUCUCCUUUCUUUAUGAAAUUUGUCCUUUCCCUUUGCCUUCAUAAACUUUGCAAAUUUCUUUAUCAUCAG